rnacentral:ncRNA from 2 species
UGUCUCCUCCACCCUCCUCCUUUGGUGUGGAUUUAGCGCGAUUCCAACGAAUCGCGCUUUUUUUU